rfam:Brachypodium distachyon strain Bd21 chromosome 4, whole genome shotgun sequence.
CUCAUACUCCCUCCGUCUCAUAUUAAGUGGCUUAAAUUUACUCAAAUAUGGAUGUAUCUAUGCCUAAAAAGCGUCUAGAUACAUGUAUUACAAAGUCACUUAAUAUGGGACGGAGAGAGUAUGUG